UUAAUAUUGUGAAUUGGUUUUCACACUCAUCAUACAUAUAUGAAAGUGAUUGUACCUUUACUAUAUAAAACAAAAUUGUAAAGAAAGAAAAAGGUCCAAUUAUUAUGUGAAUUGGUUUUCACACUCAUCAUGCAUAUACCUUUACUAUAUAAGACAAAACUGUAAAGAAUGAAAAGGUCCAAUUAUUAUGUGAAUUGAUUUUUAUACUCAUCAUGCAUAUAUGGAAUGUGAUUGUACUUCUACUAUAUAUUGUAAUGAAAGAAAAAAAAUUCAAGACUUGUUAAGACAAGUCUGUCUUUUUGCCCAAACCGUAUAGGAAAAAGUUGGCAACUUAGGCGUAUAAGUAUCAUACAAAAUAAAGUGUUAAGACACUUAAUUUUUCUAGAGUGAGACAACAAGAGAUAUAUUUGACAAAGUAAUUACUUUCUUUGUCAAGAAGUUGGCUGGAAGUUUUGAGGAAAAUUUCAUCACACAAUUUAUUCAAUUUGUUCGCGGGUUUUAAUUGAUCAAAGAGUUGAUAGCAAAGAAUCUGUCUCAGUGUGGAUACACAUAGAGUCUUCGCACAAUCGAAGAAAAAUUUUGAAACGAGACUUUCUUCGCCAGAGGAAGGUGUCUGGCUCUGGGAAAAUGGAACACCCACAUUGAGUGUCCUUAGAACCUUGGCUGUGAGGACCUUAUUAGUGCCUAAGAAGGAGAAGGAGAUUAAUUGGUUCUUGCAGGCUGGAUUCCGGGAGAAGCUGCUUGCCCAGUUGAAUCCGCACUUGAGCAAAAUUGCUCAGAUUAUUCUAUAUUGCUCUGCCAGUACAUUGGUGGUCAUCCAAGACAUGCUUCGAGUGUUCAUUAUUCGUAUUGCAUCUAUAAGCGCUGAUAAUGAUUCAGUACUUCUACGGCCAAUGAUAUUGUGGAUUCGUGAUCGUCUUUCUGAAGAAUUGCCAUUGUCUGAUUUGGAUUCUUACAAGGUUCAGCAAUUGCUCUCCUUUCUGUCUCUACUGCUAGAGCACCCACAUGGAAAGGAGUCUGCAUUCACAAUAAAUUGAAUCUGCAUUAAUAGUUUUACAUAUGUAUCUGUUACUAAGCAGCUGAAUGCUAUAUGCUUACUACAUUUCUUGUGUUCAUCAGCGAUAAUUCUUGAAGGAGGGCGGCCUUCAGAUGCUAAUGAAGGUUCUUGAAAAGUUUUCAGCUGCUGCUAGCUUUGAUGCGAAACAGUCAGCUCAGAAAGGGUUUUCACUUCUUAGUUGGUGUGUUCCUGUAUUCAAGUCUAUUCGACUAGUUAGUGAGUGCAGGGCUUCUCCGCAAACCCCAGGAAUAGUUGAGAGACACAUCCUUGAAGAUAUGACUGCUGAGGAACGUUGCUUGCUUUUGUCAUUGCUCCUUCGAUUUUGCAAGGUAUUUCCUUUUUUGUUAUCUGUUUUGUUUAUGGCUUAGAUGUGGUACUCAUGGGCAACUGUGCAUCUAUAUGAAACCGUGGUUUAUGACUAUUUAUUAUUUGCUUUCUGGAGUUCAGUUCAAGAUUUUGGUUCAGCUUCUGAAGUUUGGCACGAUUCAAAUUUCUUUGGAUUUUAAUUUGUAGGUUAUGUUGCACUGUAUCUAAUAGUGAGGGAACACUGACAUUUUCUUCCUUCUCUCUUGUUCGAUUGGGCUGGAUGGGGGCCAUCAGUUUUAGUUUUCUUGCAAUUUAUUUCGCUUUGUAAUUAGUGCAUUAUAGUAUUUGCUUCUUCCUCGGUCCUUUGGGAAAAUUAAAGCCUUUCGACCCAUGAACUAGUACUAAUAAUUGCUGUUUUUUUUCUAGUUGAAAAUCUUGAUUCUGCUGAUAUGACUCUUUAUGUUGAUAUAUUGAUACAGGCGUCUUUUUGGUUGACCAACUUUCUUUUUUUCAUUCUCACACUAUUAUAUUUUUAAAUUUUCUGUUUUUAUUUUCAAAAUGUGCAAAGUUUUAUAGUAAUGGUUGCAGACUUCUCUAUAUCUGAUUCCUAAAGGGAGGGGUUUAAGGAUUGGGGGAAAACAAAGAAGGUAAAUAAGAUUCAGAUUUAGGCCUUUAGAUGUAAGCUCCAAGUUAGAGCAAAAGGUAUUAUAAGACGGAGUACAAAGAAUAAUGGAAGGGGUGUAUUGGGAAAAAUUAGAGUUUGCAUAUUGAAGGUGACGUGUCAUGACACGUGGAUUAGUCAAAAAGUCAAAGAAUUAUAAUUAGCCAAGAGGCACGAGCAACAACAGAUACGAGAAAAGGGGAUGAAAGAGAUACAAGUAGUUAUUCAAAUAGUUCGGCGCCCGUACCUAUUUAAGUCAUUCAAAGCUCAAAGAUCAAGAAGAAUCAAGGAAAUGAAUCUGACAACGCAUGAGAGUCCAAAUUCAGUAUUUAAUAUAUAUUAAAUACCUGGUACGUUAGAGAAUUUGUAUUUGAUAUAAAUGAUUGAGUAACGUUUCUUUUAUUGUCAUUUAUUGCUCAUAAUUGCCUUAUUAAGACAAAGGCAAUACACAUAUCUCCAAAAAACCAUUAUAAAAGGGAGAAUGCUGAACAUUUGUAGACACAACAUACUAUUGGAAUACAUUGAACUACUUUCUUCUGCUCA